UCUGCUCUGGUUUUAAAACUUAUUUUUUUUUUCUUUCCUAUUCUACUCUAGAGAUCUGAAAACUAUUUUGUGUCGAUAAAAUUUAUGACUCUGCAAACCCUUGUAAAUAGUCACAGUCUUCAAAACUCCAAAUAGUAGUAGUUGUCAUUUAAAGUCACAUGGUUUUUCAUCAAGCUGCACAUGAGGUAUUGUAAACUUAAACCACAUUCGGACUGCAACUCUAUAUAUAUAUAUAUAUAACAAAUUUUAAAUACCUUCAUUCAGUUUUUAUCAGCGGUAGCUAGUACUUAACAUGGAAAAAAGAGAUUUUCAUUUUCUUACAAACUUAGAAUAUUGUUAAGUGGUCAAGGCUCAAUUGACUUCUUGAUUGGUAAAC
rnacentral:lncRNA from 1 species